rnacentral:rRNA from 1 species
UGGGGAAUUUUGCACAAUGGGGGAAACCCUGAUGCAGCGACGCCGCGUGAUUUAGAAGGCCUUCGGGUUGUAAUAAUCUUUUUUACGGGAUGAAAAUGACAGUACCGUAAGAAUAAGGUCCGGUUAAUUCCGUGCCAGCAGCCGCGGUAAUACGUAUGGACCGAGCGUUGUCCGGAAUCAUUGGGCGUAAAGGGUACGUAGGCGGCCUAGUAAGUUAGAAGUGAAAUAAUAUAGCUCAACUAUAUAAAGCUUUUAAAACUGCUGGGCUUGAGAGAUGGAAGGGAAAGUGGAAUUCCUAGUGUAUGGGUGAGAUGCGCAGAUAUAAGGACGUAAACCUGUGGCGAAGGCGACUUUCUGGACAAAAUCUGACACUGAGAUACGAAAGCGUGGGUAGCAAACAGG